rnacentral:rRNA from 1 species
GCAAGUCGAACGCAGUAGCAAUACUGAGUGGCAAACGGGUGAGUAUAAUGUGGGUAUCUGCCUUUUGGUUUGGAACAACAUGAGGAAACUUGUGCUAAUACCGGAUAAGCCUUCACAGGGAAAGUUUUAUACGCCGAAAGAUGAGCCCGCACUUGAUUAGUUUGUUGGUGAGGUAAUGGCUCACCAAGACAAUUAUCAAUAGCUGGUCUGAGAGGACGAUCAGCCACAUUGGGACUGAGACACGGCCCAGACUCCUACGGGAGGCAGCAGUAAGGAAUCUUGCACAAUGGGGGAAACCCUGAUGCAGCGAUGCCGCGUGAGUGAAGAAGGCCCUUGGGUUGUAAAACUCUUUCGUCGGGGAAGAAAAUGACUGUACCCGAAUAAGAAGGUCCGGCUAACUUCGUGCCAGCAGCCGCGGUAAUACGAAGGGACCUAGCGUAGUUCGGAAUUACUGGGCUUAAAGAGCUCGUAGGUGGUUAAAAAAGUUGAUGGUGAAAUCCCAAGGCUCAACCUUGGAACUGCCAUCAAAACUUUUUAGCUAGAGUGUGAUAGAGGAAAGUGGAAUUUCUAGUGUAGAGGCGAAAUUCGUAGAUAUUAGAAAGAACACCAAAUGCGAAGGCAACUUUCUGGGUCACUACUGACACUGAGGAGCGAAAGCAUGGGUAGCGAAGAGGAUUAGAUACCCUCGUAGUCCAUGCCGUAGACGAUGUGUGCUAGACGUUGGAAAUAUAUUUUUCAGUGUCGCAGCGAAAGCAUUAAGCACACCGCCUGGGGAGUA